rnacentral:rRNA from 1 species
AUUGAACGCUGGCGGCAGGCCUAACACAUGCAAGUCGAACGAGUGGCGGACGGGUGAGUAAUGUCUGGGAAACUGCCCGAUGGAGGGGGAUAACUACUGGAAACGGUAGCUAAAACCGCAAACCAUAGGAUGAGCCCAUAUGGGAUUGGCUAGUAGGUGGGGUAACGGCUCACCGAGGCGACGACCCCUAGCUGGUCUGAGAGGAUGACCAGCCAAACUGGAACUGAGACACGGUCCAGACUCCUACGGGAGGCAGCAGUGGGGAAUAUUGCACAAUGGGCGCAAUCUUGAUGCAGCAAUGCCGCGUGUUGGAAGAAGGCCUUCGGGUUGUAAAGUACUUUCAGCGGGGAGGCGUUACCCGCAGAAGAAGCACCGGCUAACUCCGUGCCAGCAGCCGCGGUAAUUC